AUAAGCAACCGAUCAAUUCAGGGCCUUCUGAAGACCCGAAAGACAGUUUUUGGAGGCCCCUUCGAAGAGGUG
rfam:Ascaris suum AG00264, whole genome shotgun sequence.